CUUGAUUUUUAUAAGAGGUCCAGCCUGCCCAGUGACAAAGUUCAACGGCCGCGGUAACCUAACCGUGCAAAGGUAGCAUAAUCACUUGUUCUCUAAAUAGGGACUUGUAUCAAUGGCAUCACGAGGGCUUCACUGUCUCCUUUCUCUAAUCAGUGAAACUGAUCUUCCCGUGAAGAAGCGGGAAUUUUAUUAUAAGACGAGAAGACCCCAUGGAGCUUUAAGCAAUGUAUUUACCUUUUAUCAUUAUAUCCACUUAGCAAAAUACCUAAAUACUAGCUUUAGGUUGGGGGGACCGCGGAGUAAAAACUAACCUCCACGACAAAUAGGGCCACGCCCUUAUCCACGAGCCACAACUCUAAGAAUCAAUAAACUGAUGUUCAAUGACCCAACAAUUUGAUUAACGAACCA
rnacentral:rRNA from 1 species